AGAGUUGAUCUGGCUCAGGAUGAACGCUAGCGACAGGCGUUAACACAUGCAAGUCGAGGGGCGAGCAUAAAAGUAGCAAUACUUGGUGGCGACCGGCGCACGGGUGAGUAACGCGUAUGCAACCUACCUAUCAGAGGGGAAUAACCCGGCGAAAGUCGGACUAAUACCGCAUAAAACAGGGGCGCCGCAUGGUGAUAUUUGUUAAAGAGAUUCGCUGAUAGAUGGGCAUGCGUUCCAUUAGGUAGUUGGUGAGGUAACGGCUCACCAAGCCGACGAUGGAUAGGGGAACUGAGAGGUUGGUCCCCCACACUGGUACUGAGACACGGACCAGACUCCUACGGGAGGCAGCAGUGAGGAAUAUUGGUCAAUGGGCGGGAGCCUGAACCAGCCAAGUCGCGUGAAGGAAGAAGGAUCUAUGGUUCGUAAACUUCUUUUGCAGGGGAAUAAAGUGCAGGACGUGUCCUGUUUUGUAUGUACCCUGAGAAUAAGGAUCGGCUAACUCCGUGCCAGCAGCCGC
rnacentral:rRNA from 1 species